ACCAGCGGCGCGUGUUGACCAUCACAGGCAUCUGUGUGGCACUGUUGGUAGUGGGCAUGGUCUGUGUGGCGGCAUACUGCAAAACCAAGAAGCAGAGGAAGAAGAUGCAUGGCCACCUGAACCAGAACAUUAACCAGAACCAGUGUGUGGAGCAGCCCAACCGCAUGCUGGCUAACGGUCCCAACCACCCUGGGCCAGGCCCUGAGGAGAUCCCCAUGGUCGAUUACAUCUCAAAGAACGCUCCUACCACAGAGUGUAGUAUUAUACAGCAUGGACCAGAAGAAUCCGUAAACUUCUCAGGAAGCCGAAUGUCCACCAGAUCCCACCACUCAUCUACAGUCUCCCACAACUCCAGGUGCUGUAGUAACACACAUAAACAUAGACACACAUUCACACAUGUAGAGACACACACACGCACGCACGCACGCACGCACGCGCACACA